rnacentral:lncRNA from 1 species
GGCAAAUACAGGAGAAAAAGAGGGAAACGGGUGAGGUACAGCGGUGUUGGGCACUGAGUUAUGAGAGGUGGCUGUGGUACAGCUUGGGUGGGCGGAGAAAUUCUUGAUGUAUCGUGAAGUUCCGAGCCCGUAGCUCAGCCCUACAACCCACAGAGUGAUUGAUUAUAAAGAGCACAGACGGCGGCGGCGCCGGAGGAGAAGGAACAAGCACUUCUUUUGGGUAUGGCAAAGUUUCUGUUUCAUUAUUGAGUGUAAUCCGACCAACAGAUUUCAGAUGGGGCGAAACCUACAAGGGCGUAUUGGUAGUCAAGUACUUUUAGGUUUAUCAGUACCCUGAACAUUUUCUUUUUACAUGCUCUCUGGGUCAUAAAGAAAAGAAUAGGACAGUCUCUUCGCUGUUGAAUUUAUCACCCAUGGCUUCUGACCUUGUAGGAAAAGGGCUAGAGUCCAUUUACACCUCUGAAACUGGACAUCUUGUUUAGGGGUUGCGAUUUAUUCCUCUAAUGGCAGCACGUUCGUUAGAUCAGAGUGUGCAUAAAUACAAUUAAACUGUACCUGUUGAGAUCUCCAGAGGAAAAGAUCCCGACGAGCUGUGCGUAUAUUUUCUUUGCUUGCUUUACACAUUAUUCUGCUUAGUUACAAUUCAACUACUGGAUGUCUUUAAACUAUUUUAGCAUCAUCUGACAGAUAAGAAAAGUGAUGGUUUCUGCAAAGUACUCUCAGAAAUGCCAAAUUUUAAGAUGAUAUAAUGUGGUUUUGUCCAAAAUAGGACAAAAGCAAGCCUUGGGGACUGGUUGGAUUGCAAGGCCAACAGUGCCACCAGGGCUACAGGCUCUGUCUGUUUGCUUUGCCAUGCGUUAUCCAGUGAGUUUACCCUGGGGCUGUUUCUGGAGGAUGCAGGCUGACUGCCAGCAGAAACUUGGAUGCCAUUCUCAUUUGCUUAUAUAUGGAGAAAGAGGAGAGAAAGAAAAAAAGAACAGGAAGGGAGAGAAGAAAGGAGAGAGGGUGGAACGGAAGGGGAGAGGAAUAGAGAGGGAAAAAGAGAGACAGAGAGAAAAUCCUUAAGUGUGUAUUGUAGGAUCACAUUAACCUUCAGGGCAGAAACUCUCUUGGGCUUCCUAAGUCUUUUCUCUCUUCCCUCCUGUGGAGAUCAUCUGGACCACCUGCUGUGGAGGAAACCUCCCUGCCCCUGGCUUCUUGAGGUAUCUUGGGAAGUGGCAGAUAACUGGCCCCUACCUCUUGCAGAAGGAGUCAACUCCUCCAGCACUUUGGUGGCCCUCCCAACCCAAUGACAGCGAGCUCUGUAGUACUGAUCAGUCCUUUGUGCCUCCAGCCCGGGCCGUGAUUCUGUGGUAUCUAGACUUCACUGUUUUGCAUCUCUCCCCACUCAACAGCCUGUAUGCCUACAGAUGAUGAAGCACUGUUCAGCUUUCGGGAAGGCUUACUCAUAUAUUUCCAUUAGAUUAAGUCAAUGUAGGCCACAGGCUCUCUUGUGGACCAAAAAUAAGAAAUCAUUCUAUUCUCCGAGUGCAUUUUUAGACCAUUCAGGACCCACUUCUCAGUUUUAUCCAUGCCAUAAGGGAAGAGGGAGACUCCUGAAUCAAGUCGGAAUUCUGAUUAAGAACACUGGGUCUCAGUGGUAACUGAAAGUGUCCAGGAGACCCAGCUGGCAGGGUAGAGUGCCCAAGUUAACAGCACUUGAAAUACCAGGGCAGCUCACAGCACUGUGUCGCAUAGAAAAGGAUAGAGUGUUGGGGGCCAGGGCUGGGAUCCAAGUCUGGCUGUCUCAGUGUUCACUGUGGAUGUGUGAACAACAGCUUGGAGCACCAGAUGUGAGCGCUCAGGCUGCGGCUGAAGGAGUAGCCAGAUCUGACAAGCUACUGACUCACCAAGGAGGCCUUGGGUUAUAAACGAAGGGCCCUUUCCCUUCACUUUCUUUUCGUCUUUGGGUAGCCCAUUUUAGCCUUAGCCAUACUUUACCUGUGCUUAAGCUCACGCAGCUCCCAGCAUCAUCAGUUCCUAUAGAGUCUGUAGACCUUGUUGGUGUCAGCAGCCUCACCACUGUUAAAUAAAACUGGGUUGAGCAAAGAUUUGCUGCUCAAUAAUGCUAAGAUUCUUUCUUUUGCUCCAUGACAGUAUCAAUCCAAGUCUCAGGUUAACCACAGUCAUAUUGACUCCAAUAUUCCUGGCUAACUUACCAGAAGACUCUAAUGUAAACAAAUCCUGCUUGGUCACGAUUGCACUCUGCCACUUAAUGUGUGUCUUCAGUAAUGGAUGGAUUUGAUACAUCAUCUGUUGUGUUUAAGGCAUUCCAUGCCAAGAAGAGAAUCUCAACUGUUUUUUGCAGAAGUUUUCUAUGUGAUAAAUUCUGGGAUCAUCCUACAGCCCUGGUGUCUUAGUUAGGGUUUUACUGCUGUGAACAGACACCAUGACCAAGGCAAGUCUUAUAAAAAAACAACAAUUAAAUGGGGCUGGCUUACAGAUUCAGAGGUUCAGUCCAUUACCAUCAAAGUGGGUGGGAGCAUGGCAGCAUCCAGGCAGGCAUGGUUCAGGAGGAGCUAAGAAUUCUCUGUCUUUAUCCAAAGGCUGCUAGUGGAAGACUGACUUCCAGGCAACUAGGGUGAGGAUCUUAUGCCCACACCCACAGUGACACACCUACUCCAAUCAGGUCACACCUAUUCCAACAAGGCCACACCUCCAAAUGGUGCCACUCCCUGUCCCAAGAAUAUACAAACCAUCACACCUGGGCUGCCUAAUUUUCUGUCAACCUGAGUCAUCUGGGAAGAGGAAACCUCAGUUGGAAAGAUGUCUUCAUAAGGUGGGGCUAUAGGCAGGCAAGCCUGUAGGACAUUUUGUUAAUUAGUGGUUGAUAUGGGAAGGCCCUGUCUACUGUGAGUGGUGCCAUCCCUAGGCUGGUGGCUUUGGGUUCUAUAAGAAAGCAGGUUGAGUAAGUCAUGAUGAGCAAGCCAAUAAGAAGCACCCCUCCAUUGUCUCUACAUCAGCUCCUGGCCUCUAGGUUUCUACCCUACAUGAGUUCCUGUCCUGACUUCUUUCAAUGAUGGAUUAUGACGUGAAAUAUAAGUCAAAUAAACUCCUUCCUCAGUAACUUG